rnacentral:rRNA from 1 species
UACAGAGGGUGCAAGCGUUAAUCGGAAUUACUGGGCGUAAAGCGCGUGUAGGCAGCUCGGAAAGUCGGGUGUGAAAGCCCUGGGCUUAACCUAGGAAGUGCACUCGAAACUUCCGAGCUUGAGUUCUGGAGAGGAAGGCGGAAUUCUCGGUGUAGAGGUGAAAUUCGUAGAUAUCGAGAGGAACACCGGUGGCGAAGGCGGCCUUCUGGACAGUGACUGACGCUGAGACGGCGAAAGCGUGGGGAGCAAACAGGG